UAUGUAUACCACAAAGAUUAUGGAACAUUUUUGAAGUGACUAGCGAGGUACCGUGAGAGAGAGGAUCUUUAUUUUAGUGUUAUAAUAAUAAUCUUGAUUUGAAGUUGUAUAUGUUUUUAAGUCGUGUUAUUUAUAUAAAAAGUGAAAUAAAAAUUAAAAAAAUUAAUAAUUUUGAUUGAAAAACCAGAUAUUAUUGUUAUGUGUGUUUAGUGAUAUAUUGUGAUAAUUAAUAUUGAUUGUGUUUUUUCUGUUGAUUAAUCAAAUAAUAUUAAUAAUCAUGACAUUGAAAUAGAUUUAUUAUGCAAUUGAAAAUAUUGUAUCUUCUUCGAAAGUGAAACAGUUCAAAUAAAUUCAGCACAUUACAAUAAUAAUGGCAUUGGGUAAUGGAAAUGGUGCAACAUCAGCGGUAAAUGGUGAUAUCAAAAAUACUACAGUGAAUGAAAAGACUUUGAUUAAUAAUACAGGAACUACCGCGGAAGUUGAACAAGCUUAUAAAACUUCAAGACAGACAGAUCCAAGCACAUCAUUUCUACGAGCAGCAAGAUCUGGACAACUAGAAACAAUACAAGAAUUUUUAGAUUUAGGAACAAUCAAGGAUAUUAAUGUUUCAAAUGCUAAUGGUUUAAAUGCUCUUCAUUUAGCAGCAAAAGAGGGUCAUACUGAUGUGGUGCUAGAAUUAAUUCGACGGGGUGCAGUUGUAGAUGCAGCUACUAAGAAAGGCAACACAGCUUUACACAUUGCAUGCUUAGCUGGACAAGAAGAAAUUGUACGAAUAUUAGUUCAAAAUGGUGCUGCUAUUAAUGUACAAUCACAAAAUGGUUUUUCACCAUUAUAUAUGGCAGCUCAAGAAAAUCAUGACGGCUGUGUUAAAUAUUUAUUAUCGAAAGGUGCUAAUCAAACUCUUGCAACAGAAGAUGGAUUUACUCCAUUGGCGGUAGCAAUGCAACAAGGACAUGAAAAAGUCGUUGCUGUACUAUUAGAACAUGAUACUCGUGGCAAAGUUCGAUUACCAGCUCUACAUAUUGCUGCAAAAAAGGAUGAUAUCAAAGCUGCAGCUUUAUUAUUGCAAAAUAAUCAAAAUCCAGAUGUAACAUCAAAAAGUGGUUUUACACCAUUACAUAUUGCUGCUCAUUAUGGCAAUGAUAAUGUCGCAAAAUUACUUCAUGAGAAAGGUGCUGAUGUUAAUUUUGCUGCAAAACAUAAUAUUACACCUUUACAUGUUGCGUCAAAAUGGGGAAAAGUCAGUAUGGUAAUGUUACUUAUUGAAAAAGGAGCAAAUAUUGAAGCACAAACACGAGAUGGGUUAACGCCGUUGCAUUGUGCUGCAAGAUCGGGUCAUGAACAAGUCUGUGAUAUUCUUGCUGAUAAAGGAGCGUCUCUAAAUUCUAAAACAAAGAAUGGUUUAGCUCCGUUACAUAUGGCAGCCCAAGGAGAUCAUGCGGAAGCAGCCCGUAGUCUUUUACGACGUGGUGCGCCCGUGGAUGAUGUUACGGUGGAUUAUUUAACUCCGCUUCAUGUCGCAUCACAUUGUGGUCAUGUCCGUGUUGCAAGACUAUUAUUGGAUAAGAAAGCCCAUGCUGAUGCGCGUGCUUUAAAUGGUUUUACGCCUUUGCAUAUUGCAUGCAAAAAGAAUCGAAUUAAAAUUGUAGAAUUAUUAUUGAAAUAUGGUGCAAGUAUCAGUGCUACAACAGAAAGCGGUUUAACUCCAUUACAUGUUGCAAGUUUUAUGGGUUGCAUGAACAUUGUUAUUUAUUUAUUACAACAUGAUGCUAGUCCAGAUGUUCAUACAGUUCGUGGUGAAACGCCCUUACACCUUGCUGCUCGUGCCAACCAGACUGAUAUUAUUAGAAUUUUAUUACGAAACGGUGCUUCUGUGGAUGCUAAAGCUCGUGAACAACAAACACCUCUUCAUGUCGCAUGUAGAUUAGGAAAUGCUGACAUCGUUCUUUUACUGUUACAACAUGGUGCCCAACAUGAUGCAGUUACGUCAGAUAUGUAUACACCAUUACAUAUUGCAGCAAAAGAAGGAAAGGAAGAAGUUUCUCAAUUACUUUUGGAAAAUGGUGCAUCAAUCACUGCCACCACAAAAAAAGGUUUCACACCGUUACAUAUUGCAGCCAAAUAUGGUCAAUUAAAUAUUGCCAAACGUAUUAUUGAUAGUUGUACAGCAAGAAAUAAUAAUAAUAAAAAUGAUGAAAUUUCGGAAAAAAGUUUAAUCGAAAAUCAACUAAAAUCAAAGGAAAUAAUAGAUGCAGCUGCAAGAAAUGGUGUUACUCCACUUCAUGUUGCCGCACAUUAUAAUAGUCAACCAAUAGCACAACUUUUACUUGAAAAUGGGGCAUCGCCACAAGCUGUUGCUCGAAAUGGACAUACUCCAUUGCACAUCGCAGCCAAAAAGAAUCAAAUGGAUAUUGCUGCUCUUCUGUUAGAACACAAAACAGCCGCAAAUGCAGAAUCUAAAGCCGGCUUUACACCAUUGCAUUUAAGUGCACAAGAAGGUCAUACUGAAAUGACACAACUAUUAAUUGAAAAUUCCGCGAAUAUUGAUCACGCAGCUAAGAAUGGUUUAACUCCAUUACAUUUGGCUGCACAAUACGAUCGAUAUCAAGUUGCAAAAAUUCUACUUGAUCAUGGUGCCAAUUCAAAUUCAACAACGAAAACUGGUUAUACACCAUUGCAUGUGGCCAGUCAUUAUGGCAACGCUAAUAUUGUUAAAUUACUCCUUGAAAAUGGAGCAAAUGUGGGAUCAGCGACUGAAUUAGGUUAUACUCCAUUGCAUCAAGCCGCACAACAAGGGCACACUCUUAUCAUAAAUAUUCUCCUUAAAAGUAAAGCAGAUCCUAAUGCUCAAACCAAAAAUGGACAAACAGCAUUAAGUAUUGCAAACAAAUUAGGUUAUGUAACUGUUGUGGAAACACUUAAAGUUGUAACAACAGAAACGAUUAUAACGACAACAAUAAGUUCAACAUUUGAAGAGAAAUAUAGAGUGGUUGCACCUGAAGCAAUGCAUGAUACAUUUUUAUCAGAUUCAGAGGAUGAAGGGGUAGAAGAUCCAAUGUUGAGUGACACUCAACAAUAUCGGUAUAUGACAGUAGAUAACAUGAAAUCGUUAGGAGAUGAUUCAAUGCCCAUUGAUGUUACAAACGAUGAAAGACAUGAGAACAAAUUGUUUUCAGGUGGUCCUAUGAAUGGUGACAUUGUUAUUCAUUCUAUUCGAGAAUCUGUUCUUACAAGUGGAGUACCCCCUACACAAGUCGAUAAUGUAAACAUUACUCGACCACCUAUUCAUGCUGGUUUUCUCGUAUCAUUUCUUGUUGAUGCACGAGGCGGAGCUAUGCGUGGAUGUAGACAUAGUGGAGUACGUGUAAUAGUUCCUCCUAGAGCUGCAUCAAGUCCAAUUCGAAUUACUUGUAGAUAUGUUCGUAUACAUAGGCCAAAUGUUCUAAGUUCAAAUACUAUUACUAAUUCUGCGCCACCUACUUUACCAUUAGGAGAGGGAGAAGCAUUAGCUAGCAGAAUUUUAGAAUUGGGACCAGUUGGUGUUAAAUUCCUCGGGCCUGUUAUAUUAGAAGUGCCCCAUUUCGCCUCAUUACGUGGUGAUGAACGAGAAAUAGUAGUUUGGAGAUCGGAUACUGGAGAAUCUUGGCGUGAACAUUCUCUUGAUGCAAGUAAUGAAGCAGUACAAGAUGUUUUACAAGAUAGUUUCCAAGGAGAAGAAUUAUUACAAAUUGAAGAUUUACACACAUCACGAAUAGUACGAAUAUUAACAAACGAAUUACCACGAUACUUAGCUGUAGUUCAACGUUGUCGACAAGACGGGGGUAUUAUUGGUCCUGAAGGUGGUAUUUUAUCCUGUAGAGCUGUACCACAAGCGCAAGCAGUAUUCCCACCAAAUGCUUUAACAAAACGUAUUCGUGUUGCGCUUCAGGCACAACCAAUGGAUCCUACAUUAGUUCAUAAAGUAUUAGGACGUAGUGGUAUUGCAGUUUCACCCAUUUUAACAAUUGAACCAAGGCGUAGAAAAUUCCAUCGUGCUAUUACACUCGGUUUACCUGCACCUAAAGCACAAUCAAUGGGCAUGAUUAAUCAAUAUCAAUCUAGCGGUGCCCCUACACUAAGGCUUUUAUGUUCAAUUACAGGAGGACAAAGUCGGGCUGUUUGGGAAGACGUAACUGGUUCCACACCUUUAUCAUUCGUAAAAGAUUGUGUUACAUUUACAACAACAGUGUCGGCACGAUUUUGGUUAAUGGAUUGUAGAAAUGCAUCUGAAACAACACAACUAGCAACUGAAUUAUAUAAUGAAGUUUGUAGACCACCAUUUAUGGCGAAAUUUGUUGUAUUUGCUAAACGAACGGGAUUACUUGAAGCAAGUUUAAGGGUCUUUUGUAUGACAGAUGAUAAAGAAGAUAAAACUUUAGAAUCUCAAGAGCAUUUUAUUGAAGUAGCGAAAAGUAAAGAUGUGGAAGUUUUAGAAGGUAAAGCCAUUUAUAUUGAAUGUGCUGGAAAUUUAAUUCCAAUUAUUAAAUCCGGCGAACAAUUAUGUAUGAACUUUAAUGGUUUCCAAGAAAAUCGACUGGCUUUCGAAAUGAGAAUUCGUAAUCCAGAUGAAGAUCCUGUUGGUCGUAUUAUUUUUAUGAACAAUCCAAAAGUGCCAAAAGGGGAACAACCACAACCUCCAUUAUGCACUUUAAAUGUUACGCUGCCAAAUACAUACGAGGAUGGUAGUGAUUAUGGUAGCCAGAAAGGAGAAAUAGGUAAUUUCGUUAAUUCUAAAAAAAAAUUUUUUAAUUUUCUAUUUCUAAAAAACUUUAAUUCUUUAAAUUAUUUAUUAGGUGAUAUGAUUCAUCGUGGUUACAUAAAUUUGGAAUCAAUGAGCCGAUUAUUACAGGCAGAUUGGCCUAAGUUAGCUACUGAAAUAGAUCAUCCAAUUUCUCCUGUCGAUAUUGAAUUAAUCAAAUCCGAAUAUUCAGAUUCAGUGCAGCAAGCUUUAAUCAUGUUGAAAUUAUGGCUUAAGCAAGUUGGACCAUUAGGAACAGGAAAUGUUUUGGCAUCAGCUCUACAUAAAAUUGGUAGAUCCGAUAUUGUGGAACAGUGUAUCGAUAAAGUAGAACUUGUGACCGAUAACAAAGAAAUUGUUGCCGCACAAAAUGUUUUGGAAAAAACAAAUUUAGAUGAAUCUUUAACAACUGAUAAAGAUCAAUCAAUAUCUGAACAUACAAAUACUCACGAUAGCAAAAUAUGGGACCAUACAUUAGACAAAUCAGGUUUUGAUGCAUUAAAAGAUGAUAUAGGUUCUUCAGGUAGUUUAGCAAUAAAAGACGACGAAAAAAAUAUUCUAGAUGUAGAUACAGUUUCUUCGAAAAUUUCCAAUACCGAUAAAGAUCAUUCUGAAAAAGAUGAUGCUCAACUAGAUAUCAGUAACAGUAGUAAUACUGUGUUAGAUGUAACGAAUAAUAACGAAAAACCAUUAAAAUCAAUAUUAAAAAAUAGCGAUAACGUAAAAGAUACAACUAAAAUUAUUAUUAAAGACAAUAUUACUCAUAAAGAAGCCUUAGAUUUUUUAGCUGAACAGUUUAAUAAUUUAGAUACUUCAAAUUCAAUGAAUUUACAAACCCCGCCACCUAGUCCUGCUGCCGAUAAUAAAGAAAGUGAAAAUAAUUUAGAAAAUCAAAGUUAUGAUAUUACGUGGGACAUGGGUGAAACAACAUUAGGAGAUUUAUCAUCGAAUUUAAUAGACGCAGAAAAAAUAUCUUCAAAAACAUCAUCUACUAGUCAUCCAGCAUCACCUCACAAAAUAAAAACAAUUAAAAAACACACAAAAUUAUCAAAAGAAUUCCAAAAAACUGCUGGUGCACGACCAACUGUUGAAGAAAUAUUUUCGAAUGCAAAAGAAAUCGAUCCAAAUUUAGAAGAAGCUUUAAAAAGAGAUGCAAAUAAUGUAAAAGUAAUUGUAAAUAAAAAGACAGUUGAUAAAAAAGAAUCAAAAAAACAAAAUAGUAAAAUACCAGUUUCUAUAAAUACAAUAAAAACGACAACGGAAAAAGAAGUAGUUGUGGAAUAUAACUCUGAUACGGACAGUCAACAAUCACCGUUGAGGUAUCAAGAUCAAAAUGAACAACAAAUGUUAGGAUCAUCUAGUGAAUCUGAUGUUGCUUUACAUGAAGGUCAAAGUGAUGAUGAUGUGAUUGUGCAGAAGCAUGGGCCCUAUACAGCAUGGUUGGCCAUCUCACUGUGUGUGCUGAUGUUCGCUCUUUUUCCCGUUCUACGUUCACUUAUUAUAUGAAACACCCAAACAAGGAUCAAGUAGAUCAACAAACAUUUGCAGAAAGCUAUGAAGAAAUCCAUAUAUCUGGUGAUAAAAAGUCGAGAAGUAAUCAAGGCAGUUCGGAUUUAAUUACAUCACCUGGGUCAUCGGAUGGUUUAAAAGGUGGC